ACCGCUCUGAUUGGCUAACCGCCACAUGCGCAGCCCCUCUCUGUACCACGUGCAGUACCGAUUUUUGGCCACAUGGUGGCAGCAGCGAUCUGCUGCCGGCGCCUCAUCGCCGCUCUCCCACGUGCCGUGUCGCGAUUUGGACGUAGGAGAGCACGGAAAAGCGGCGGCCAGGUUUAGAGCUUGGUGUUUGGAGCGAUAUCAUUGUCUCGGUUCCCUGGUGGUGUCAAUAAAUUGGUUUGAAUUGCAACACAGUAUUGCUUCACUAGAGACCUGAACAGUGUUCAGAGCUUCUGUGACAUUAAAGGUUGUUGCUUGGAUAUCUCUGUGAAUCGUAUUUUGGGGACAAAAGUUCUUGUGUGGAAAACACCAGCACACUGAAUCUCACGAGUUCUUCUGUGCAAGGCCUGAAUAGCGCAUGUGUAGGAAGAACACCCCUCUCUUCUAGCAGAUCUGUUUGCGGAAGCCAUACCCCUCUUAUGGGAUAUUCAGGUAAGAUUAACAGCUAUUAAAGGAAAUAGUCCUACUUACAUUUCUUACAUUAUUUUAUUAAGCACACUUUAUUUUUUAAUAUGAUCCAGUAAGAUACUGAAAUAGAUUCAAAACACAAAACAUAAUGUGUUUUGUACUACAGAGGAUGCUUGCCAAUGCAAGAUGCACCCAUAGGGGAAAAUACUACAUUAGAUAGUCGAGUAGAUGUUUUGGUAUUGCAACCUCUUGUCACUUACUCUGCAUUCAUGUAUAAAUUACCACCGUAGUUAGAAUUCAAGCUUUUUUCAGAUUGUCCAAAAUUUUUGUGGCCAUGUUGGUUUGUGUGGUGGCUGAAGAUCCCAAAUGUAUGCACAUUGCUAAUCAAGGUUUCUUCUUAGGCUUGUAAAUGCUUUGUAUAUGGUAUAUCAUGAUGUCAUUCUCAAGUCUCUUCAUGCAAGUUUUGCGUGGUUUAUGUUGGUAUCUUCAAAGGUAUAGAACACUAGAUCUUCAGAGGAACGCUCACAUACUGGGUAUGAGCUAUUUAUGAACAAAGUUGUGUUACAGGUUAAUGAUGCCUUGUGCCACGUUAUGUGUAUCUCUGUGCACAGGUAGCGCAGAAGUAAUGGGAUUUGAAGUUCUUUCACUGUCUGAUUAAUCAUCAGUUCAGU